AUGAAUGGCACUACAGUAAAUCGGGUCGUUGCCAAACUAACGAAAACAAGAGAGAUUCCAUGGGCAUUAGCCACGAAUGCAUAUCAUAUAUCUCCCUCUACAUCAUUUCGAUUCUCUCUCUCUCUCUCUCUCUCUCUCUCUCUCUCUUUCUCUGCAUCAUUUCGAUUUUUUUUUUUGGCAUCUAGCUGGGGGUAUGUCCUUUCAUCUUCAAACUUUUUUGCUUUUCGUUUUUUCACGCUUGCCCUUUCCAUUACUGGGUUCGGAACAUCGAUUCAGGGGAUUGUUUUUCGCUCUGAUUAA